rnacentral:piRNA from 1 species
UAAAGAAACAUUAUGUCUUGUCUUUUGAA